ACCUAUAAUAAUAAACUCUUUAUAGUGAUCAUGCAAGUCAGAGAUAAUUAUAUGGUCCAGAAAAAUAUCUUCUUUCAUGUAUACAAAUACAGGCUUGUGUCAUAUUUUGAGGUAUGCAUUUGUUUAUUUCUACUUUUUGUUCUAAGGUCUUCGAGAAGCAGUCCUUUGACUUUCAGUACAUCAUAAACAGAAGAAGGCGGUGGAAAUUUUUUUCAGGAGAAAUUGCACAAGCAGGGACUGGAAUGGUGUCUGUGCCUUCACUGCUCAAAGUCCAUCUUCAGCAACCUGGUUCCACAUUGGCGAUUACAGCACCCCAUUCCCAGAUGCGUCUGCUUGCCAAGAACUUAAGCCACCUGCCUGUACCCCUUGCUGCAAGAAGACUGGAGAAAGUUGGUAUCAGAAUGAGCGAGAGGGCACCGACCUGGAGAACCUGCCAGUUUCCUGCGUCCUUACAAAAAUUCAUCGUGAGACUUCAGGCAAGGUACUUAACCUCUCUCACUAAUCCAUGUUCCUAAUACUUAACGUGAGGAUUUGGGACGCCGUAAAUUCCAAAAAUCUUUAUAGUAAUACAAAUCUGUGUCUGCUCUAGUUAGAGCUCUGGCUUCUAGUGAUGGAACC
rnacentral:lncRNA from 1 species